rnacentral:rRNA from 1 species
AUGCACGCUGGCGGCGUGCCUAAUACCUGCCAGUCGAGCGAACAGACGAGGAGCUUGCUCCUCUGAUGUUAGCGGCGGACGGGUGAGUAACACGUGGAUAACCUACCUAUAAGACUGGGAUAACUUCGGGAAACCGGAGCUAAUACCGGAUAACAUGUUGAACCGCAUGGUUCAACAGUGAAAGACGGUCUUGCUGUCACUUAUAGAUGGAUCCGCGCCGCAUUAGCUAGUUGGUAAGGUAACGGCUUACCAAGGCAACGAUGCGUAGCCGACCUGAGAGGGUGAUCGGCCACACUGGAACUGAGACACGGUCCAGACUCCUACGGGAGGCAGCAGUAGGGAAUCUUCCGCAAUGGGCGAAAGCCUGACGGAGCAACGCCGCGUGAGUGAAGAAGGUCUUCGGAUCGUAAAACUCUGUUAUUAGGGAAGAACAAAUGUGUAAGUAACUAUGCACGUCUUGACGGUACCUAAUCAGAAAGCCACGGCUAACUACGUG